ensembl:ncRNA C42D8.12 ncRNA
AAAAGAAUCGCUAGUGUUUCCGGAGAUCGACUUCGGAAGAACUGAGGCUCCAUCCAUGGGGGCGCAUGCGGCCAGGAAAUAAGGUGCGGGAGCGCCUGUUUCCGUUCCUUUGUGCUCGUACCCUAGGCGGCCCAUCUAAAUGCAUCC